UACGUAGGGGGCAAGCGUUGUCCGGAUUUAUUGGGCGUAAAGAGCGUGUAGGCGGCUAUACAGGUCCGCUGUGAAAACUCGAGGCUCAACCUCGAGACGUCGGUGGAAACCGUAUGGCUAGAGUCCGGAAGAGGAGAGUGGAAUUCCUGGUGUAGCGGUGAAAUGCGCAGAUAUCAGGAAGAACACCCGUGGCGAAAGCGGCUCUCUGGGACGGUACUGACGCUGAGCGCGAAAGCGUGGGAGCAAACAGG
rnacentral:rRNA from 1 species